UGCCAGCCGCCGCGGUAAUACGGAGGGGACUAGCGUUGUUCGGAAUUACUGGGCGUAAAGCGUACGCAGGCGGACCAGCAAGUUGAGGGUGAAAUCCCGGGGCUCAACCCCGGAACUGCCCUCAAAACUGCUGAUCUAGAGACCGGGAGAGGUUAGUGGAAUACCUAGUGUAGAGGUGAAAUUCGUAGAUAUUAGGUGGAACACCAGUGGCGAAGGCGGCUCACUGGCUCGAUACUGACGCUGAGGUACGAAAGUGUGGGGAGCAAACAGGAUUAGAUA
rnacentral:rRNA from 1 species